rnacentral:rRNA from 1 species
AGACCCGAAACCCGGUGAUCUAGCCAUGGGCAGGUUGAAGGUUGGGUAACACUAACUGGAGGACCGAACCGACUAAUGUUGAAAAAUUAGCGGAUGACCUGUGGCUGGGGGUGAAAGGCCAAUCAAACCGGGAGAUAGCUGGUUCUCCCCGAAAGCUAUUUAGGUAGCGCCUCGUGAAUUCAUCUCCGGGGGUAGAGCACUGUUUCGGCUAGGGGGCCAUCCCGGCUUACCAACCCGAUGCAAACUGCGAAUACCGGAGAAUGUUAUCACGGGAGACACACGGCGGGUGCUAACGUCCGUCGUGAAGAGGGAAACAACCCAGACCGCCAGCUAAGGUCCCAAAGUCAUGGUUAAGUGGGAAACGAUGUGGGAAGGCCCAGACAGCCAGGAUGUUGGCUUAGAAGCAGCCAUCAUUUAAAGAAAGCGUAAUAGCUCACUGGUCGAGUCGGCCUGCGCGGAAGAUGUAACGGGGCUAAACCAUGCACCGAAGCUGCGGCAGCGAACGUAUCACCCAAGACAACUUUACGGAGUUGACGAUUGACGGAGCGAAGCGACGUCAAAGCGUUCAUUAAAGUCGAGUUGGCUUAGGGAUACGUUCGUUGGGUAGGGGAGCGUUCUGUAAGCCUGUGAAGGUGUGUCGUGAGGCAUGCUGGAGGUAUCAGAAGUGCGAAUGCUGACAUAAGUAACGAUAAAGCGGGUGAAAAGCCCGCUCGCCGGAAGACCAAGGGUUCCUGUCCAACGUUAAUCGGGGCAGGGUGAGUCGACCCCUAAGGCGAGGCCGAAAGGCGUAGUCGAUGGGAAACGGGUUAAUAUUCCCGUACUUGGUGUUACUGCGAAGGGGGGACGGAGAAGGCUAUGUUGGCCGGGCGACGGUUGUCCCGGUUUAAGCGUGUAGGUGUGUGUUCCAGGUAAAUCCGGUUCACUUUAACACUGAGGCGUGACGACGAGGCACUACGGUGCUGAAGCAACAAAUGCCCUGCUUCCAGGAAAAGCCUCUAAGCAUCAGGUAACAUCAAAUCGUACCCCAAACCGACACAGGUGGUCAGGUAGAGAAUACCAAGGCGCUUGAGAGAACUCGGGUGAAGGAACUAGGCAAAAUGGUGCCGUAACUUCGGGAGAAGGCACGCUGACACGUAGGUGAAGUGAUUUACUCAUGGAGCUGAAGUCAGUCGAAGAUACCAGCUGGCUGCAACUGUUUAUUAAAAACACAGCACUGUGCAAACACGAAAGUGGACGUAUACGGUGUGACGCCUGCCCGGUGCCGGAAGGUUAAUUGAUGGGGUCAGCGCA